rnacentral:rRNA from 1 species
ACAACCCAGACCGCCAGCUAAGGUCCCAAAUUCAUAGUUAAGUGGGAAACGAUGUGGGAAGGCUUAGACAGCUAGGAGGUUGGCUUAGAAGCAGCCACCCUUUAAAGAAAGCGUAAUAGCUCACUAGUCGAGUCGGCCUGCGCGGAAGAUUUAACGGGGCUCAAACUAUGAACCGAAGCUGCGGAUAUAGAUUUAUCUAUAUGGUAGAGGAGCGUUCUGUACGCUGUUGAAGGUGAAUCGAGAGGUUUGCUGGAGGUAUCAGAAGUGCGAAUGCUGACAUGAGUAACGAUAAGGGGGGUGAAAAACCUCCCCGCCGGAAGACCAAGGGUUCCUGCGCAACGCUAAUCGGCGCAGGGUGAGUCGGCCCCUAAGGCGAGGCUGAGAAGCGUAGUCGAUGGGAAACAGGUUAAUAUUCCUGUACUUCUUUAUAUUGCGAUGGAGAGACGGAGAAAGCU